rnacentral:rRNA from 1 species
GACGAACGCUGGCGGCGUGCUUAACACAUGCAAGUCGAGCGGAAAGGCCCUGCUUGCAGGGUACUCGAGUGGCGAACGGGUGAGUAACACGUGGGUGAUCUGCCCUGCACUUCGGGGUAAGCCUGGGAAACUGGGUCUAAUACCGGAUAUGACCUUCCAUGUAGUGUGGGGGGUGGAAAGAUUUAUCGGUGUGGGAUGAGCCCGCGGCCUAUCAGCUUGUUGGUGGGGUAAUGGCCUACCAAGGCGUCGACGGGUAGCCGGCCUGAGAGGGUGGACGGCCACAUUGGGACUGAGAUACGGCCCAGACUCCUACGGGAGGCAGCAGUGGGGAAUAUUGCACAAUGGGCGGAAGCCUGAUGCAGCGACGCCGCGUGGGGGAUGACGGCCUUCGGGUUGUAAACCUCUUUCGACAGGGACGAAGCUUCGGUGACGGUACCUGUAUAAGAAGCACCGGCUAACUACGUG